AUUGAACGCUGGCGGCGGGCCUAACACAUGCAAGUCGAGCGGAGCGGCGGACGGGCGAGUGAUGCCUAGGAAUCUGCCUGGUAGUGGGGGAUGAAGUCCGGACACGGGCCCUAAUACAGCAUACUAUCAGAUGAGCCUAGGCCGGAUUGGCUAGCUGGUGGGGUAAAGGCCUACCAAGGCGACGAUCCGUAGCUGGUCUGAGAGGAUGAUCAGUCACACUGGAACUGAGACACGGUCCAGACUCCUACGGGAGGCAGCAGUGGGGAAUAUUGGACAAUGGGCGAAAGCCUGAUCGAGCAAUGCCGCGUGUGUGAAGAAGGUCUUCGGAUUGUAAAGCACUUUAAGUUGGGAGGCGUUACCAAAAGAAUAAGCACCGGCUAACUACGUGCCAGCAGCCGCGGUAAUUC
rnacentral:rRNA from 1 species